ACAGUACCUGUGCAUGGGCCGGCCAUGCUAACAACUGAUUUUUGCACCCUCCUCGGCAGUGGCCAGUUUCGCCAACCCUUAGGUACGCCCCUGCGCCUUAGUACUAAAACUCACAGUAAUGUGCAGUGUGCACAAGUAUGACAAAGCUCCACCACACUAAAACUCACAGUAAUGUACAGUGUGUAUGAGUAUCGCAGAGCUCCACCACACUAAAACUCAC